rnacentral:rRNA from 1 species
AGAGUUUGAUCAUGGCUCAGGACGAACGCUGGCGGCGUGCUUAACACAUGCAAGUCGAACGAGAUUCAGUGAGUAGCAAUACUCACGAAGAUCUAGUGGCGAACGGGUGCGUAACACGUGAGGAACUUGUCCCGGUCUCUGGGAUAACAGUUGGAAACGACUGCUAAUACCGGAUGACGUCGGAACUUCGCAUGGAGUACUGACGAAAGGGUUACUGGAUCGGGAGAGCCUCGCGGCCUAUCAGCUUGUUGGUGGGGUAAUGGCCUACCAAGGCAUCGACGGGUAGCUGGUCUGAGAGGAUGAUCAGCCACACUGGGACUGAGACACGGCCCAGACUCCUACGGGAGGCAGCAGUGGGGAAUCUUGCACAAUGGGCGAAAGCCUGAUGCAGCAACGCCGCGUGCGGGAAGAAGGCCCUCGGGUUGUAAACCGCUUUCAGAAGGAACGAAACUGACGGUACUUUCAGAAGAAGGUGCGGCCAACUACGUGCCAGCAGCCGCGGUGACACGUAGGCACCAAGCGUUGUCCGGAUUUAUUGGGCGUAAAGAGCUCGUAGGCGGUUCAGUAAGUCGGGUGUGAAGACUUUGGGCUUAACCCAAAGCGUGCAUCCGAUACUGCUGUGACUUGAGUACGGUAGGGGAGCGGGGAAUUCCUAGUGUAGCGGUGAAAUGCGCAGAUAUUAGGAGGAACACCGGUGGCGAAGGCGCCGCUCUGGGCCGAAACUGACGCUGAGGAGCGAAAGCAUGGGUAGCAAACAGGAUUAGAUACCCUAGUAGUCC